rnacentral:lncRNA from 1 species
UUCAUACGGAUAUUUCGUGCCUCGUAGGCGAUUCUUUACGAGCAUUAUCGUUAUCGUUAUUAUUGGCACUAUUAUCGUUAGAAGAGCAAUAUGUCCGUUUAAAUUCGGUAACUCUUAUGGAUAUUAAAUAACUCGUAAUUAGUAGCUUGUGCAAUUUCACUGAUAACGUCGGUUCGAUCGUGCAAGGGGAAUUUAUCAGGUAAUAGAGUAAUUCCCUAUAAAGUAAUCUAACAACAUCGAGCGAUUCAAACGCUUUUCUUACGCUUUUUAUAUUUUUAUAAAGCUGUGAUAGACGCGAAAUGGAAAAUAUUUCAUUUGCGAGGAGAAGCUUUAAUAACGUAGCUGGCGUUUCUCUUCUCCGAUACGAAUUAAUCGCAACAUUUGCAGUGAUGUGUAACCGACUGUAAUUGAUUAAAACUUCGUUAUAAAGUAUCGAAUGUCUCGGCAUACGUUUCAAUUAUUUGCGGAGUUUCAUUGAAACCGAUAUGUGCGCAUACAACGUUUGAUGUUCUUUGUGGAAGGUUCCUCGUCUCUUCCAUUGAUUAAAAUCUUUGUUAAAGAGGCUCUUGAAACGUAGAGAAUUCGCUGGAUCUAGAUAAAUUUAAAAAAUUGGAAGAAUACAGAAUACAGCGCAUCGAUGACGGCGAUGGAUAUGUACACCAUGCGACCUCUGACAUCUCUUGGCGCGUUACGCGAUCUAAAGUAUCGGGUACAGUAACCUGCAGGUACUUUGUCUCAAGCGAAAGCUUUUUCAAUCGGAUGCAAAGAUAUUAUUCAAAUUUGUCGCGAGGGAAGAUCACGUUGAUAUAAAUAUAUUCACGACGAGUUUAAUAACUGUUUCUACGAAAUUAAGAUAUAAUGCAACCAUUUUCUCGGAUGAAAUAUUCAUUGCUGUACAUCUUGAGAGUAAUUUGAUAAUUCGCCAAGAGCGCGAGUAUU